GAUGAACGCUGGCGGCGUGCCUAAUACAUGCAAGUAGAACGCUGAAGGAGGAGCUUGCUCUUCUGGAUGAGUUGCGAACGGGUGAGUAACGCGUAGGUAACCUGCCUGGUAGCGGGGGAUAACUAUUGGAAACGAUAGCUAAUACCGCAUGACAACAGUUAUUGCAUGAUAACUGUUUAAAAGGGGCAACUGCUCCACUACCAGAUGGACCUGCGUUGUAUUAGCUAGUUGGUGAGGUAACGGCUCACCAAGGCGACGAUACAUAGCCGACCUGAGAGGGGGAUCGGCCACACUGGGACUGAGACACGGCCCAGACUCCUACGGGAGGCAGCAGUAGGGAAUCUUCGGCAAUGGACGGAAGUCUGACCGAGCAACGCCGCGGGAGUGAAGAAGGGUUUCGGAUCGUAAAGCUCUGUUGUAAGAGAAGAACGAGUGUGAGAGUGGAAAGUUCACACUGUGACGGUAUCUGACCAGAAAGGGACGGCUAACUACGUG
rnacentral:rRNA from 1 species